GAGAAAGAUGGAAAAAGCGCCCUAAGGCUGUUCCCAAGGGUCAAUUUAGAGCUUUACUAAAGAUUUGGCAUUCUCAAAAUGCAAGGUGUUGGUUGAAGAAACAAAAGGAUGUCAUAUUUCCUGCUUUACAAGAGAUUGGGGAAAAUGUUAUCUGGACUUCUGGGCUUAUUUUUGGAAAAGGAGAGGUAUAACACUGAGUUUUAUAUACUUCAUCGUUAUCCAUUGGUUGUACGACCAUUCUACACCAUGCCAUGUUAUGAUGACCCAACAUAUAGCAACUCAUUUGAUGUUUUUAUUCGAGGGGAUAUAAAGACUUAAAUAGGAGAAUGCGGUCAAGAUGGCUUUGAUAUAUGAAUCUUUUGGAACAGACUUGUACUUGUGAAUUAAUCAUAUUUUGAUGGGUUGAAGUUAUCUUGUAAGUACUU